CAGCCGCCACGGUAAUACAGAGGGUGCGAGCGUUAAUCGGAUUUACUGGGCGUAAAGCGUGCGUAGGCGGCUUCUUAAGUAGGAUGUGAAAUCCCUGAGCUUAACUUAGGAAUUGCAUUCGAUACUGGGAAGCUAGAGUAUGGGAGAGGAUGGUAGAAUUCCAGGUGUAGCGGUGAAAUGCGUAGAGAUCUGGAGGAAUACCGAUGGCGAAGGCAGCCAUCUGGCCUAAUACUGACGCUGAGGUACGAAAGCAUGGGGAGCAAACAGGAUUAGAUACCCCGGUAGUCCCUGUCUCUUAUAC
rnacentral:rRNA from 1 species